GGUAAGGUGGCCGAAUGUUAUGGCGUUAGGUUGUAAACCUUUUUAUGAGGGUUUAAUUCCUUCUCUUAUCA
rnacentral:tRNA from 1 species